rnacentral:rRNA from 1 species
CAGUAGCCGCGGGAAUACGUAGGGUGCAAGCGUUAAUCGGAAUUACUGGGCGUAAAGCGUGCGCAGGCGGUUAUAUAAGACAGAUGUGAAAUCCCCGGGCUCAACCUGGGAACUGCAUUUGUGACUGUAUAGCUAGAGUACGGCAGAGGGGGAUGGAAUUCCGCGUGUAGCAGUGAAAUGCGUAGAUAUGCGGAGGAACACCGAUGGCGAAGGCAAUCCCCUGGGCCUGUACUGACGCUCAUGCACGAACGCGUGGGGAGCAAACAGGAUUAGAUACCCCCGUAGUCCCUGUCUCUUAUAA